AGCUUUGCAAGUUGACUCAAGUUAGCCCCAGCUGGAUCCUUUCUUCUGCUGAAAAGGCAAUCCCAAACAGGCAGCCUGGAUUCCAGCAAAGAGAAAUCUCCCAUUCAAUGCAGCCAGGACUUUCUCAGAAUCCCCACUACUUCUUAAGACUUGAGUUACUCUGCAGCCUCAGAAGGGGGAACUAAAGAGUUAGACCUAAGUAAAAAGAUAUUUGGGGUUGAAGUGGAUGAACAGUAGGGAAUUUAUGAGUCCCUUCUCAAAGUUGUGAAAAACUGACAAGUCUACGGUGACUUGACUUAGCUCACUUCUCCAGCCUCGUGACUACACUUCCUUGCCCUUGCAGUUCCAGCAGGGUUCUUCAGAAGAAGAUCAUGAAAUGAGGAUGUGUGCUCCCAAGAGAAAACCAGAAGGGAGUGGGAGAAGCAGGACAGGAAAGGGAAAGAAGCCAAGCAAAGGCACUAUUCUCAACCAAGGGACCAG
rnacentral:lncRNA from 1 species